UCCCAAAUAGUCUAGGCGGUUAGGAUACGUGGCUUUCACCCACGCGACCCGGGUUCGAGUCCCAGUUUGGGAA
rnacentral:tRNA from 1 species